UUCAUGGCCAUAGCUCAGUGGCAGAGUGCCUGUCUUGCAUGCAGAAGGUCCCAGGUUCACUUGCUGGCCUCUUCAGGAAG